AUUGAACGCUGGCGGAAUGCUUUACACAUGCAAGUCGAACGGCAGCACGGGGGCAACCCUGGUGGCGAGUGGCGAACGGGUGAGUAAUACAUCGGAACGUGCCCAGUCGUGGGGGAUAACUACGCGAAAGCGUAGCUAAUACCGCAUACGAACUAUGGAUGAAAGCGGGGGACCGUAAGGCCUUGCGCGAUUGGAGCGGCCGAUGGCAGAUUAGGUAGUUGGUGGGGUAAAGGCCUACCAAGCCUGCGAUCUGUAGCUGGUCUGAGAGGACGACCAGCCACACUGGGACUGAGACACGGCCCAGACUCCUACGGGAGGCAGCAGUGGGGAAUUUUGGACAAUGGGCGCAAGCCUGAUCCAGCCAUUCCGCGUGCAGGAUGAAGGCCCUCGGGUUGUAAACUGCUUUUGUACGGAACGAAACGGUGCUGGUUAAUACCUGGCGCUAAUGACGGUACCGUAAGAAUAAGCACCGGCUAACUACGUGCCAGCCGCCGCAGUAACAC
rnacentral:rRNA from 1 species